rnacentral:rRNA from 1 species
CCCAGAUGGGAUUAGCUAGUAGGUGGGGUAACGGCUCACCUAGGCGACGAUCCCUAGCUGGUCUGAGAGGAUGACCAGCCACACUGGAACUGAGACACGGUCCAGACUCCUACGGGAGGCAGCAGUGGGGAAUAUUGCACAAUGGGCGCAAGCCUGAUGCAGCCAUGCCGCGUGUGUGAAGAAGGCCUUCGGGUUGUAAAGCA